rnacentral:lncRNA from 1 species
ACAGAAAUGAUGAGUAAAUGAAACGCCCGCCUAUCAAAAGAGCACAUUUUCCAACGAGACGGACUCGUGACGGAAAAACGCUGGGUGUCACACGUCCAGCCCAGGGGUGAGGAAAAGGGACUGACCAGGAAGGGAGGCCUGCGGGGCAGAACGAUCGGCCUGAGGAGACGCGAGGGCAGAGAGGCUGGAAGCGAGGGGGUCUCAGGGGUCGGGCGGGCUCUCCGGAAUCCCAGGACCGGGGAGAGGAAUCGGCUUCUCCGGGAGUGGAACUGUCGACGCGACCUCCAGGGGUCGACAGGGUGAGGCGGUGGAGGUGGGCGUGCCCGAAUCCCCCUCGCGCCCGGGGACUUGACAAGGCACAGGCGCAGCUGGAAGGCCAAACUCCACAUGGCUCGGUUCCAGAGACACAAGGUCAAAACCUACAGUCUGAGACUGGAGGACUAAGGUAUGUGGCACAUGCACGUGAUUUGGAAAGACAUGGAGAGAACCCCACUGCACUGGCAGCAAGAAAUAGCAGCUGUAUCAUCUCCAGAAGAAGCCUUUGCACUACAGAUUGCUAUGGAGCUGAUGGUCCUCAGAGUCUAUGAAUAAUCCUUCCCUGUGCCUGUGAAGUAAGUCUCUUCAGUCAUGUCUGACUGUUUGGGACCCUAUGGACUGUAGUCCACCAGACUCCUCUGCCAUGGAUAGGUUGCCACGCCCUCCUCCCAACUCAGGGAUCAAACCCGCGUCUCUUACUCCUGCACCACCAGGAGUAGAAAUUCCCUGGUGGUGGUGUGGUAAAUAAUCUAACUGCCAAUGCAUAGGACCCGGGUUUGAUCCCUGGUCUGAGAGGAUACCAUGUGCGUUGGAGCAACUAAGUCCAUGCAACACAAGUACUGAGCCUGUACUCUAAAGCCUGUGCUCUGCAACAAGAGUAGCUACAGCAGUGAGAAGCCUGAACGCAAGUAACUAGAAAGUCGCUUCUGCUUGCUGCAACUAGAGAAAGCCCACGUACAGCAAAAAAUAGGCUCAGCACAGCCCCCAAAACAAAAAGGCAUUGAGUCCUCUGGACUGACCAAAAGAAGCAUCAAAAUGCCAGUCUCCAACCAUACCCCAACCAAGUUUAUGUGGAGAAUUCAUAGCCCUACUGCUGCAAAAAGAGAAAGAAGCCAGCAUAAAGAAGACCUAGCAUAGCCAAAAAUAAAUUUUAAAGAUUAUUAAUGAGAGAAAAAAAC